UACGUAGGCAGCAAGCGUUGUUCGGAGUUACUGGGCGUAAAGGGUGUGUAGGCGGCCUGUUAAGUUCCGUGUGAAAUCUCCCGGCUCAACCGGGAGGGUGCGCGGAAAACUGGCGGGCUAGAGUGCGGGAUGGGAGAGUAGAAUUCCUGGUGUAGCGGUGAAAUGCGUAGAUAUCAGGAGGAAUACCGGUGGUGUAGACGGCUCUCUGGACCGCAACUGACGCUGAAACACGAAAGCGUGGGUAGCAAACAGGAUUAGAUACCCUGGUAGUCCACGCCCUAAACGAUGCAUAUUUGGUGUAGGUCAUUCAGUUGAUCUGUGCCGGAGCUAACGCGUUAAAUAUGCCGCCUGGGGAGUACAGUCGCAAGGCUGAA
rnacentral:rRNA from 1 species